GACGGAAGGUGCAAGCGUUGCUCGGAAUCACUGGGCGUAAAGGGUGCGUAGGCGGCUUCUUAAGUCUGGUGUGAAAGCCCAGGGCUCAGCUCUGGAAGUGCACUAGAAACUGGGAAGCUUGAGUACCGGAGGGGAGAGUGGAAUUCCUGGUGUAGCGGUGAAAUGCGCAGAUAUCAGGAGGAACACCCAUUGCGAAGGCAGCACGCUGGGACGGUACUGACGCUGAGACGCGAAAGCGUGGGGAGCGAACAGG
rnacentral:rRNA from 1 species